rnacentral:lncRNA from 1 species
CUAAAAUUAAGGUUAUAUCCCUUUUCGUUGCUUUUGUUGAAUCUUGCUUUUGUUUUCCGCAUUGUUUUGUUGUUCUUCAUGUCUGUUUUGAGUCUGAGAUCUAAAAUUUUGGAUAGUUUAAUUGUGUUUGUGUUUUGGAAAAAAAAUACUGUUCAUCCGUACGUUACUGUUCAUUUGUAUGAGUUCCAAAAAAAUUGCAUCAAAAAAAUUUCUCAAAAUUUACCAACUAAUUUUUUGAAUCAAAAAUUCUUUUCUGUCGGUCAAAUUCCAAUACAAGAAUUACUUUCUUGAAUUUAUACAAUUCCAUUCAAAAUCUGCCAAUUCUAUCCUUUUGAGUCUUUGAGUCACAAUUUCCACACAUCCCAAUUGGGAACCAAACAAUAUGUCUGAAAGGAUGAUUCGGCGGUUUGAGAGGAUGUUGGUGAAAAUGAAGGAUGUGGGAAAUAGAAUGGAUAGGCUUGGAAGGUGAUGUAGAAAUCUUGGUGAUGGAGUUAUGUAUCCACUUGAGGGUAGAACAUCAAUUGGGAAGCAUGCUCGUGGUACAUUGGAUUAUAAGCGUGAAUUCUCAAAAAUUAGUGGCUUGAUUAAUUCUCAUACUGAUCAUGGGAAGGAAUGAAAGGGCAAGAAGAAAAAUUGUGAGGUGGUUAGUUCUAGGAAAAAAUAAGAAAAGCCACAAGAGAGUGUAAUGUGGUUGAGGGUGAAAUUCUGAAAGGGAAAGUGGAGUUGCAAAAUGAAAAUGAAAAAGAGUCUUCGGAGAAUGGGGAGCUGGAAGUGAGCUUAAAUGAAAAGAAGCGUGAAGUUGAGGGGGCAUUGGAGAAAACUAACGUUUCCCUUCCCAACUUUGCUGAUUCUGUUUUGUAGGUUACCGAAGAUUCAAUCCUAGAAAAUGAUCACAUUGGAAUACCACCUGUCCCAGAAAUUGAACAUCAGUUGAUACUACAUCGGUUGGAUUUUCCUUAUCUACCAAAAAUUGACUUUGUGAUUCCCGAGGAGAUGAUGGAGUAAGGCACCGAGGAGCUAUACAUGCAGAGAGUUGAUUAAGGAAAAUGAAUUGAAGGACAAUAUGGAUACAUUAGAAGUGACAUUGCGUCAAGUGUUUGAGCAAAGUAAAGCAAGGAAGAUGCAUGAUUAUUCAUCAAGUGGAGUUUUCAUUGGAGGAUUUCCAAUUCGCAAAAUUAAGCAGUUGAGGCGAGCACAUUUUUGAUCUACAUGAUGGUGAUUGGGUCUACAUUCAAAAGAGGAGAGUUCGAGGUCAAAAGAGGUCCAAAUUUCAUCCGAGAAGUGAUGAGACAUUUCAUGUGCUUGAGUUGAUUGAAAGUAAAGGCUAUGACUUUGAUCAAGAUUCGAGGAUGAAUCCUCUUGAAGAGGGAGGGUUUGAUGUGAUCUAGAAAAGUUUUGUUUCGGUCCAAUUUCUUAUUUUUGGUAAUUUAGAUAUUUUAGGACUCUAUUUUCCUGUUAUAUUAGAUUUCUAGGCUUUCUAGAAUUUAUUCCUUUUAAUAUUAUUCUAGGUUAUCUAGUAUAAAUAGGUUAUUUUCUCAUUAUUGUAAACAAGACCUUUUAUGAUGAAUUAAUGGAG